GGGGUUAUGGCGGAAUGGUAGACGCUGCGGACUUAAAAUCCGUUGAUGUAAAAAUCGUGAGGGUUCAAGUCCCUCUAUCCCCA
rnacentral:tRNA from 1 species